GAUGAACGCUGGCGGCGUGCUUAACACAUGCAAGUCGAACGAAGCACUUAAGAUUGAUUCUUCGGAUGACGUCUUUUGUGACUUAGUGGCGGACGGGUGAGUAACGCGUGGGUAACCUGCCUCACACAGGGGGAUAACAGUUAGAAAUGACUGCUAAUACCGCAUAACCCGAUAGGAUCGCAUGAUCCAGACGGAAAAGAUUUAUCGGUGUGAGAUGGACCCGCGUCUGAUUAGCUAGUUGGUGAGGUAACGGCCCACCAAGGCGACGAUCAGUAGCCGGACUGAGAGGGUGAACGGCCACAUUGGGACUGAGACACGGCCCAAACUCCUACGGGAGGCAGCAGUGGGGAAUAUUGCACAAUGGGGGAAACCCUGAUGCAGCGACGCCGCGUGAGUGAAGAAGUAUUUCGGUAUGUAAAGCUCUAUCAGCAGGGAAGAAAAUGACGGUACCUGACUAAGAAGCCCCGGCUAACUACGUG
rnacentral:rRNA from 1 species